UCCCCAUCAGGCUCAGACACAGAAGGCCAGCUGCCUGGAGCUCUCUGCCACACAAACCCUCCCCUCAGAAGGGACACACCCACCUAUCCGUCUCUUGGGCCAGGCCUCCUUCACUUCUUCCUCCCCACCUCCUCCUCCCUACCUUCCUGGACCCAGGCCUCUCCAUUCACCCCUGGGGCAAGCAAAGCCCCAGGCCUCCUCACCUCCAAGUCUUGCCUCUCCCUGGAGAGGGACAAGACCUCUCACUUCCCAUCUGAUUCCGCCUCAUUCUAAGGAACCCAUGUUUCUCCAGCCAACAAAAAGCAGAAGCUUUGGAGUAGCACAGGCCUCGGAUGGAAUCCUGCCUCUGAGAUGGGCUUGUUGUAAUCCACAAGCUUCUCACCUGCUCAGAGCCCCAAGAGGAGGGUCCGGGCCACCCCACCAGGCAAGCUGCCCAGACCAGCAGAAGUACGGGCCAGAGACAGGGUGUCUAGAGGGGCCGUGGAGGAGGGAGAAGAAGCAGCAAGCUGCCCUGGAGUGGAUUCUACAGCCACAGGGAAAUGGAUUCUGUCAACAGCUUGAGGGCGCUUGGGAGCAAAGUCUUCCCUCCAGAUGAGAAGGCAGCUCUACUGACACUUUGUGAGACCCUAGAGGAAAACCCAGAUAAGCUGUGCCCAGACUUCUUACCUAAGAACUGGGAAAGAAUAAACAACUAUUGUGUUAAGCCACUAAUUUUGUGCUAAUUUGUUACACUGCAAUAGAAAACUAAUGUAAUGAGUCUAUUAAAAUCUCUUUAAAA
rnacentral:lncRNA from 1 species